rnacentral:rRNA from 1 species
GACGAACGCUGGCGGCGUGCUUAACACAUGCAAGUCGAACGAUGAAGCUGGAGCUUGCUCCGGUGGAUUAGUGGCGAACGGGUGAGUAACACGUGAGCAAUCUGCCCUUGACUCUGGGAUAACUGCGGGAAACUGUAGCUAAUACCGGAUACGAGGCUCGAAGGCAUCUUCGGGUCUGGAAAGAAUUUCGGUCAAGGAUGAGCUCGCGGCCUAUCAGCUUGUUGGUGAGGUAAUGGCUCACCAAGGCGACGACGGGUAGCCGGCCUGAGAGGGGGACGGGCCACACUGGGACUGAGACACGGCCCAGAGUACUACGGGAGGCAGGAGUGGGGAAUAUUGCACAAUGGGCGAAAGCCGGAUGCAGCAACGCCGCGUGAGGGAUGAAGGCCUUCGGGUUGUAAACCUCUUUUAGCAGGGAAGAAGCGAAAGUGACGGUACCUGCAGAAAAAGCACCGGCUAACUACGUGCCAGCCGCCGCAGUAA